rnacentral:snRNA from 1 species
CGAUGUGAGGGCCACAGGGCUGUGACACCUGUCACCCACUGGUCACCAGGGUUGAUUCGGCUGAUGAGGCUGGGGGGGCUGGGGGGUGGGGUGGGGGGGGUGGCGAGUGUCCCAUUCCUUCCCCACGUUCCCUGUGCAUCCCCCCCGAAGUUGCAUGCUCCGUUGAAGUCGAAGAGGAUGGAGGAUUGGGCUUUGAGUAGCUUCACUCCUCCACCAGGUCAUCCGAAACAGCUCUUGGGAAAGAAUGGGGCAGGUCUGCGCACACGGAUAUGUGUGACUCGGGCCGCGCCUU